rnacentral:rRNA from 1 species
UACGGAGGGUGCGAGCGUUGUCCGGAAUCACUGGGCGGAAAGGGCGCGUAGGCGGCGCGACAAGUCAGUGGUGAAAGCCCGAGGCUCAACUUCGGGUCGGCCACUGAUACUGUCGGGCUCGAGCACUGUAGAGGCAGGUGGAAUUCCGGGUGUAGCGGUGGAAUGCGUAGAGAUCCGGAAGAACACCGGUGGCGAAGGCGGCCUGCUGGGCAGUAGCUGACGCUGAGGCGCGACAGCGUGGGGAGCAAACAGG